UUGGACCCAGCACCACUUUGAAGAUAAAGUGCUCACAUUUUCAGCGCAUUUAAAAAAUUUCAAACUUCCCGCAUUGCGAUUGUCGACUAUGAAGACGACGACGAUGAGGAAGAGGAAGAGGAAGAGAAA
rnacentral:lncRNA from 1 species